UACGUAGGGUGCAAGCGUUGUCCGGAAUUAUUGGGCGUAAAGAGCUCGUAGGCGGUUUGUCGCGUCGCAUGUGAAAUCCCGGGGCUCAACCCCGGGCCUGCAUUCGAUACGGGCAGACUAGAGUUCGGUAGGGGAGUCUGGAAUUCCUGGUGUAGCGGUGAAAUGCGCAGAUAUCAGGAGGAACACCGGUGGCGAAGGCGGGACUCUGGGCCGAUACUGACGCUGAGGAGCGAAAGCGUGGGGAGCAAACAGG
rnacentral:rRNA from 1 species